GGCUCUUACCCACGUUAGGGACGUGAAGUGGGCGGGGUUUAGUAAGAAGGAAAUGGCGUCUCUGGGAUGCGACAGGCGCCGGACGUAGCUAAAGGAAUCACUUUUCCCCCUUAUAGCAAUUUGACUAAAUCUACCCCCUAGAUGUCUUUUGGAUAUAUUCUCUCUCCUCCACCCCCGUACUGCAGACCAAGCUGUCAUCAUUUCUCACCCAGUCUGAUGCAAUAGCCUAAGAAUGGGAAUCCUGAGACGCAUCUUCUACUGCUGGCUGCCAGAUUGAUCUUUUGGAAACACCAAUGCAGAGUGAAGCAGAACCACUUAACCUGACCAUCAGUGGAAGAACAAAACUCAUGUAACUGAAACAAGAAAGUGACUGCAAUUUACAGAUAUAUGUGGUCAUUUACCUUGUGGGUUAUGAAAAGUAUUGAACACAGAGCCCAUGUUUAUAUACUCUCGUUUUUGCUGUGACCUGCAAAGUGCCCUGGGCUAAGUCACUUCUCUUUUUUCUGUCCCAUCUGGAAAAAAAAAAUGAGGAUAACACAUUUCCUUUAUCCUCAUAAGACAGACAAUUUGAUGUCUCUAAUUUAUGAUCAAAGGAAGACAUGUCAACAUGCUUGACUAACAGGUGAAACAGUACAGAGGACCAGGGUUCUGUAGUUCUAGCAUGGAUUCUGCCUCUUAGCUGUGAGAACUUCAGUAGGGAGACCUAAACUUCAGUAGGCCUUCACGUCCUUAUCUGUUUUAACUUGUAUCCCUGAGAUUCUGUGAUUCUUAGUUUAUAGGAAGUCAAGAAAGUUGACAUAUGAUCUUCCCUGACUAAUUCAGUCCAUAGACAAUUACUCAGUCCAACCCUCAUCUCUCUUUACUCUGAGUUUCUACUGAAGUAUAGCAAGGCUAUACAGUCUAACCAGUAUUUGUCCUCUCAUGGUAAGCUCUACUAAAGCAGGGUUCCAUGUACGAAAUCCCAUCUCAUCCCCUCCCUCCCUUCCCCAACCCUGGACAACUCCCAGAUCUAGGUGUUUGUUGUAGACUCGUAAUACUUGCUGGCUAAAGGAGGAAGUUCAGUGACUACAGCUAUCUCUUAAGAGUCAACUUCUCCUUUUACUUCUUUUACUUUACAGAGAAAAGAAAGUCAUUUGGCAAGAAUUUCCUUUAAUAACUUCCCCCUCCAGCACACACACCCAAAAUUUAUUUGUGUUAAUUCAUCCUUGAAAAGAUUGGGAAAAUAUGACUAUAAUAAAGUUUGAAUCAUGUAUACAACCAAAAGCAUCCUUAUAAAGUUAAAGACAAGCCACAGACCACAGGAAGAUAUUUGCAAAAGAAGCCAUAACCAGAAUUUUUAAAUCCUGCGUAUCAUUAAGAAAACAGAUAAAUAACCCAAUGGAAAAGUGAAAAGAAUGGGGAGGAGGGGGAGAAGAUACAAACAAGCAAUUUACAAAGGACCCCUAAAUGACCAAUAAACAUAUGAGGAAUACUCAAACUUAUGAAUAAUCAGAGAUAUGUCAACAAAAACUCAUCAAAUGGGAGAAAAUCUAAAAGUCUGGGGGAAAAAAAAACCCAGAAA